rnacentral:rRNA from 1 species
AACAAACGCUGGCGGCGUGCCUAAUACAUGCAAGUCGAACGGGGUAGCAAUACCUAGUGGCGCACGGGUGAGGAACGCGUGGAUAAUCUGCCUUAGAGUGGGGGAUAACUAGUCGAAAGAUUAGCUAAUACCGCAUAAGACCACAGGAGCUGCGGCUCUAGGGGUCAAAGGUUUUUCGCUCUAAGAUGAGUCCGCGUAAGAUUAGCUAGUUGGUGAGGUAACGGCUCACCAAGGCGACGAUCUUUAACUGGUCUGAGAGGAUGAUCAGUCACACUGGAACUGAGACACGGUCCAGACUCCUACGGGAGGCAGCAGUAGGGAAUAUUGCACAAUGGAGGAAACUCUGAUGCAGCGACGCCGCGUGAGUGAUGAAGGCCUUCGGGUCGUAAAGCUCUGUCGCAGGGGAAUAACACAAUGAAUGUACCCUGUAAGAAAGGAUCGGCUAACUUCGUGCCAGCCGCCGCGGUAACAC